UGUCGACGAAGUCGGCGAUCUUCAGCACGCAGCCACGAGUGUCCUUCUUGAGGUCUUCGUAAGUGACGAAGAGGACGUUGCUGUCCCCGCGAUGUUCGUACCAAGACAAGAGGUGGUCGAAGUAGUCACCGAAGUCCACUUUUCCUUCGACGAACAUGUCGAAGAACUGGUCGAACGUGCCGUCCUCGAACUGGUACAUCGGCAUGUUCCUCGUGUGGUAGUAGAAGGACACGCAGCAGUCAUAUGGGUU